AACCCAUGGUGUGGGCAUUGGUUUGUGUAGCUCCUGAAUCUCUCUCAUAUGCUUCACCAAAACUUUCAUUGCUGUGCUGAGUGAAGCUGGAGAUUUGGUUCCUCAGUUU
rfam:Eutrema salsugineum unplaced genomic scaffold scaffold_12, whole genome shotgun sequence.